UACAGAGGGGGGCAAGCGUUGUUCGGAAUUACUGGGCGUAAAGGGCGCGUAGGCGGCCUUCUAAGUCGAACGUGAAAUCCCCCGGGCUCAACCCGGGAACUGCGUCCGAUACUGGAAGGCUUGAAUCCGGGAGAGGGAUGUGGAAAUUCCAGGUGUAGCGGUGAAAUGCGUAGAUAUCUGGAGGAACACCGGUGGCGAAGGCGACAUCCU
rnacentral:rRNA from 1 species